AGAGAAGUUCAGGCAGUUGUAUUAUCAAAUAUUGCAACGAUCACAACAACAAAAAGGGGAUUGUUUGAAUCAUUUCUAAAGAGUUUCUAUAUUGUGUCAUCUGACCCAACACAUAUCAAGAUGUUGAAAUUGGAGAUUUUAUCGAAUUUGGCAAAUGAGACAAACGUGUCUGUUAUUUUGAGAGAGUUGCAG